CAGAGCUGUGUCACCCAGUUGCGCUCAACGUAGUCCCAGUCCCAGUCGCUCAUCUCUACAUAGCAGAACCAGCAAGGUCAGUGGCAGAAGCGUCUGGCAUCAACAAUUAUCUCUCAAGUAUUAGUUGGACAAGGCUAUAUUAUGCAACGGCCUCGCAGCCCAGUAUUACGCGGGCCUUUCGGAUGCGGUGGCAGGAAUUUCUCGUACAACGCUUCCGCCACUAUAGCAUCAGCCUUUACAGUUACACCGCCACGCCCGUGCCAGCGCUGAAUGGAAUGAUUUCAAUUCAAACGCAAAUAACGGUGAGCUGAACCAGGAUCACUAGGAACUGGCUCCCUGCCUGGUGGUCUGAUGUUCUGGGUGCGGAGGCCUUGCAAGAAGCCUCUUCCUCCACUUUUUCCCAAAUGAAUUUUCAAGGAUCCGGCGCGACUAAUAUGGAUUCGGAUUUUUCACUGAGAUGCUCGGACACGGGCGACAGCUAUUACCCACUGUCUGAUUUGAGCGAUUCCGUGACACUAGCAGGAUUGAUUGUGGGACCCGAUGACUUGGCAGCCACUCUGGUACGCAUUCAAAGAAGCGCCCGAGUUGAAUCGACUGGUCCAGGAUGUGGUUGAAGGACAACAGUCUGUCGUCGUUCCCCAAGGAUUUUGAAUCAACAACAC